rnacentral:snRNA from 1 species
GGAUGAUCUGGCUGGCUAGGUGGAUGUCUCCUUCCUCCAUCACCACUCCAUGCAUGCCCCUCCUGAAGCUGCAUGUUCUGUCAAAGAGGACAAUCUUCCCCGAAUAAAGAUGCAUCUUGGGUUAAGGAUACGAGUGCCUGCACUACCCUGCUAGAAUCUCCAAAUAAGCUCUCAAGUCCUUAUUUUUUCUUUUUGUAUGAUUCUCAUAAAAUUUGUCAUAGGGACAAUUUUCCUUUACUUGCUAUGUUUUUUGCCAGUAUAUAUCUUGGU